rnacentral:rRNA from 1 species
AACGAACGCUGGCGGCAGGCUUAACACAUGCAAGUCGAGCGCCCCGCAAGGGGAGCGGCAGACGGGUGAGUAACGCGUGGGAAUCUACCCAUCUCUACGGAAUAACGCAUGGAAACGUGUGCUAAUACCGUAUACGUUCUUCGGGAGAAAGAUUUAUCGGAGAUGGAUGAGCCCGCGUUGGAUUAGCUAGUUGGUGGGGUAAAGGCCUACCAAGGCGACGAUCCAUAGCUGGUCUGAGAGGAUGAUCAGCCACACUGGGACUGAGACACGGCCCAGACUCCUACGGGAGGCAGCAGUGGGGAAUAUUGGACAAUGGGCGCAAGCCUGAUCCAGCCAUGCCGCGUGAGUGAUGAAGGCCCUAGGGUUGUAAAGCUCUUUCACCGGUGAAGAUAAUGACGGUAACCGGAGAAGAAGCACCGGCUAACUACGUGCCAGCAGCCGCCGUAAGAC